rnacentral:rRNA from 1 species
UCCUAAGGUAGCGAAAUUCCUUGUCGGGUAAGUUCCGACCUGCACGAAUGGCGUAAUGAUGGCCAGGCUGUCUCCACCCGAGACUCAGUGAAAUUGAACUCGCUGUGAAGAUGCAGUGUACCCGCGGCAAGACGGAAAGACCCCGUGAACCUUUACUAUAGCUUUACACUGAACGUUGAGUUCGUCUGUGUAGGAUAGGUGGGAGGCUUUGAAGUGUGGACGCCAGUCUGCGUGGAGCCAUCCUUGAAAUACCACCCUUUAAUGGCUGGUGUUCUAACGUGGGCCCCUAAUCGGGGUUGCGGACAGUGUCUGGUGGGUAGUUUGACUGGGGCGGUCUCCUCCCAAAGAGUAACGGAGGAGUGCGAAGGUAACC